rnacentral:rRNA from 1 species
AGUGAACGCUGGCGGUAGGCCUAACACAUGCAAGUCGAACGGCAGCACAGUAAGAGCUUGCUCUUACGGGUGGCGAGUGGCGGGCGGGUGAGGAAUACAUCGGAAUCUACUUUUUCGUGGGGGAUAACGUAGGGAAACUUACGCUAAUACCGCAUACGACCUACGGGUGAAAGCAGGGGAUCUUCGGACCUUGCGCGAUUGAAUGAGCCGAUGUCGGAUUAGCUAGUUGGCGGGGUAAAGGCACACCAAGGCGACGAUCCGUAGCUGGUCUGAGAGGAUGAUCAGCCACACUGGAACUGAGACACGGUCCAGACUCCUACGGGAGGCAGCAGUGGGGAAUAUUGGACAAUGGGCGCAAGCCUGAUCCAGCCAUACCGCGUGGGUGAAGAAGGCCUUCGGGUUGUAAAGCCCUUUUGUUGGGAAAGAAAAGCAGCAGGUUAAUACCCCGCUGUUCUGACGGUACCCAAAGAAUAAGCACCGGCUAACUUCGUG